ensembl:lncRNA
CAGCGAUAACAGGAGCGGUGGUCUGCUCAACAUUGGAACAACCCUGCUGCUGGAACUUUAUGACGAUUUUAAAGGUGUCAUCACCACGAAGGGCAAUACUGUCGCAAUUAACAAGGCGAGGGUGAUGGCUUGGCAAAAAAUGCUGACAGAUUAAAUGCGUAAAUUAUAGCCUAGGCCUACUUAUUGUUUAAUUUUUUAUCUUUAAUAAAUGAACGUACAGAUCACUAGAUAAGACUGGCUAGAUUAUCAUCAGGCUAGAUAAUAUCAGAUGUAUGAUCAGUCAACAUGUUGUUGUAGGUUAACUUACGUGAACUGAUUACAAGGCGUUUAGUGUUUAUUAGCCUAAUUCGGUGAGGCAUGAAGCCUUUCUGACCUAGUAACACUUGGCCUAUAUUCAUUCUCGGCGGUUACAUCUCAACAGGUGCCAACUCAAUAGCCAAAAAACAACUUCGAUAUUAGAUAUCAAGCAACUUCCAUCGCAGAUCAUCUGACAGCAUAGAGGGGGACCAAUGAUGUGAACCAAUUUGUUUGGAAGGGAUUUAAUUGAAAAUUGCAGCAUGACUAAGAAAAGUUGAUGCGAUGGUGUCUUUCAAAAUGUACAUUCCAGUCAGAAUUAUUUCAACUUUGCUCACAUUUCAGAAUAAUAUUUUUAACUUCAGGUCUGACAUUGCAUGAGAUUUCAAAUAUGGUUUUGCAUAGUUCUUCUGCAACUGCAUGUUAAUGCUAUGACAUACUUGGUUAGGAAAUGAAAUACUGUACCAGAUUGUUUUUAUCAUUGAUCAGUGCUGAAAAGGUAAAGGGAAACCUUAUCUCUGUAGAGUACAGUUACUUCUUUGUGUAAGGCUGAUGUGGAGGGUUAGAAAAUGGCCUCUAUUAAAAGGUAAUCCUAAUAUCAGACACCCCCCUUAUUUUUUGAACAUUGUGUACUAUUUUAACAAUUGUCUUACCAGUUACAAAACUGUAGUUACUCGACCUGACCAAUAGGUGCUGCUGUGGAGUUGCAUUAGGGAGGCAACGGUCCUGAAUUCGCGCAGAAAUAAAUAUGUGCUCAGACCAUUGUGACUAUCUCCUAACACGUGAAGGUUUAACUGUUAUUUCACUGUUCUUGGACCCACUUCAAAACUGUAUCUAACCUUGUUGGCCGCUAAACCAGGUAGAUGACUGAUGUGAAUCUGUGACUUGGAGAUGUCUUGAAUUAGACAUAAAUACGAACAAUGCAUUGUCAGCGCAGGACUUUGACCAACUUAAUCUUUGGUGUUCUCUUCGUAAAUGUUAUCAAACUUUCAUCCCCUCUACAAGUUUCUUCAGAAAUAGGUGAAUUAGAUUGCUUUGGUAAACGUAUAAACCCAAGAAUCAAAUGGAAAUGUGUUUGGACAAAUGGAAAACUCACUGUCAACAAAAUGUACAGAUACACACUGGUUAUAGAACAAAAAAAAUACUGCCAAAUAUAUCCAAACAUAUCAGGAACAUCGAUGGACCUUCGAAUCGUAAACGAACGUUACAACAUCACAGCUCGUUUGUUUGACGAGAGUUAUCCGCACAGCUGCAAAGAGACUGUUUUCAGAGGUUUUCCUCCAGAAUUGGUUCGAUGUGGCCCCCCAUUAAGUGUAGACUUUAAACGCCAUUCAAGACAGCUGGACAUCUUGCCAUCCUGGGGAAUGGAGAAGAGGUAUAUCCAGUCUUACACAGUGAGAUACAAAGAACUGAAGGGACCGUCGUGGGCAGAGCCAACAGUGUAUUCACAGGAUAUAAAUAAAUUAACUGUGAGAAAUCUUAGCUCUUCGAUGACAUAUGAGGUGCAGCUUCGGGUUCUGGAGAACCAAAGAUGCACCCAGGUGCCCUGGAGCAAGAGUUUCCUUGUCCAACCAGAACUUACAGAUGAGCCUGUCAUUAAGAUGGUUAAAGAUAUUUCAAAAAUGAAAGGGAAGAGAUUGGUGACCAUCAAAUGGAAGGUAAAUUAAUAACCUGACAAAACAUCUUAGGUCGUGGUAUCCUGUGUUGAACAUGGCCCCAAAAUAGCUG